UACGAAGGGGGCUAGCGUUGUUCGGAAUCACUGGGCGUAAAGGGCGCGUAGGCGGCUUUAUAAGUCGGGGGUGAAAGCCUGUGGCUCAACCACAGAAUUGCCUUCGAUACUGUAGAGCUUGAGACCGGAAGAGGUAAGUGGAACUGCGAGUGUAGAGGUGAAAUUCGUAGAUAUUCGGAAGAACACCAGUGGCGAAGGCGGCUCACUGGACCGGUAUUGACGCUGAGGUGCGAAAGCGUGGGGAGCAAACAGG
rnacentral:rRNA from 1 species